rnacentral:rRNA from 1 species
AUGUGCACGCGACCCACCCAUUGUUCACCCCAACGCACUCGCAACUUUUUUCCCCAGAUAAUCCUAUCCCAAACACUGGGGCCUAUUGUUUACGAGGUGUUCACUCUUCAGAAGGACCAAGUUUCCACUCUUAAGCACAUUUGUGCUGGCGGAAGCAUGAGCACCUUCAGUGCCGUCAGUGCCCAUGUGUGGCAAUGCAUGUGUUUAGCCCGGCGGCUACCGCCGAACUCCACAACACGCUUGGCUUUUGUGGCCAACGUCCGGCGAAGCAUGGUGCCGCCACUCCUGGAUGGCUACUUUGGCAACGCGUUAAUAAAUCUAAGUGUUGCCGAGCUGGUCUACAUCGCACGCCAAAUCAGAUACACCAUCAGUCGGGUGAAUGAUGAGCUAGUGCAUUGGGCAGUCGACUACAUCGAGUUAGCAUUAACGAAGAGAGACAACCGCACUGCUUUAGGUAGUCUGCCGGCGACAGAUAUGCGAAUGAUAAGUUGGCUUGGCAUGCCGUUCUAUUGA